UCCAGUAAGUCCUAACGGAGAUGUGACAGGAUGCAAUGAAUCGCAAAAUUAUAACGCAGAUACCAUACCAGCCAAUGCUGCUAACAUUACAAGUCAAAGAUUUCAAGAUAAAACAGGUUGCUGAUCUCUCGUUGCCAAAUAUUUGAUAGGAAGUUGCGACAUAUUAGGACAAAAAGUGGCAUGUAACUGACGCCUACUUGUGACAUGUCUUCGUGGCAGAACCGUGACUAUACAUUGGCGCCAUACCCAGUUCGAUUGAAGCGAAGGAGACUCAACAACCGAUUUAAAAUUUUUGGGAUUGCAGAGGCGAUAUUGGGAAUUUCCAGUUUUUGCAUCGGAGUUGCUAUUGAAUCACUGUCAGACUUGGAUAAUGAAAAUAAUAGAUCUGAAUGUGAACACUGCUCUAACAAAGGGAACACUGGUGCCGGUAUUUGGUGUGGACUGGUACUGUUAUGCAGUGGGAUUAUUUGUAUACUAAAGUCAAGAAGGCGAUCAAAGUAUUUUCAUUAUGCAUGUCUUAUAAGCGGUAUUAUUGCAGCAUUUGCAAUGAUUAUAAUGUUUAUUUUGUCUAUCCUUCACGCCUACCCGUUAGCCGUCAUUCAGACGGCCAUAUUGAGUAUUUUUCUUUGUGUAAUAAGCAUUGUAGGACUGGUAAUAUGCGUUCUGCAUGUGAUAGCUGUUUACAAAGGGAAAGACAUACUACAGCCGACUGUUGCUGUUAUGUACACUCGACCCUAUACUGGUGAACAAUACGUGCACUAUGAACACGGUGGAAUACUGCAAGGACAGUUUUUAUUUUCAGCGGAUGUGUUUGAAAAUAUAGACAGUCCGCCAUCAGUCUAC